rnacentral:rRNA from 1 species
UACGAAGGGGGGCAAGCGUUGUUCGGAAUUACUGGGCGUAAAGGGCGCGCAGGCGGCCCUUGAAGUCAGGUGUGAAAGCCCCGGGCUCAACCCUGGGAAUUGCACUUGAUACUCGAGGGCUUGAGUUCGGGAGAGGAGAGUGGAAUUCCCAGUGUAGAGGUGAAAUUCGUAGAUAUUGGGAAGAACACCGGUGGCGAAGGCGGCUCUCUGGACCGAGACUGACGCUGAGGCGCGAAAAGCGUGGGGGAGCAAACAGG